rnacentral:rRNA from 1 species
GACGAACGCUGGCGGCGUGCUUAACACAUGCAAGUCGAACGGAAAGGCCCUGCUUGCAGGGUACUCGAGUGGCGUACGGGUGAGUAACACGUGGGUGAUCUGCCCUGCACUUCGGGAUAAGCCUGGGAAACUGGGUCUAAUACCGGAUAGGAGCCAUUUUUAGUGUGAUGGUUGGAAAGUUUUUUCGGUGUAGGAUGAGCUCGCGGCCUAUCAGCUUGUUGGUGGGGUAAUGGCCUACCAAGGCGGCGACGGGUAGCCGGCCUGAGAGGGUGGACGGCCACAUUGGGAUGGAGAUACGGCCCAGCCCCCUAGGGGAGGAAGCGGGGGGGAAUUUUGCAAAAUGGGCGAAAGCCUGAUGCGGGGACGCCGGGGGGGGGAUGACGGCCUUCGGGUUGUAAACUCCUUUCGCUGGGGAGGAAGCUUUUUGUGACGGUACCUAGAUAAGAAGCACCGGCUAACUACGG